ensembl:snoRNA
UGGAUCAAUGAUGACCACUGGUGGCAUAUGAAUCACAGAUGGUGACUAAGCCAUGGAAGUCUGAGGUCCAC